CGGUUGCUAUGGUGAUUUUGCAAGAUGGCGGAAACUUGAUGCUGCGCAGAAGGUGACGAAAAUUCGUCCGAGAAGAUAGCACACCUUGUUACUUACACCAUGUUGCUUUCAAAGCCGGAUAAUAGCAUUUGACAAGUAUGGCCAAACAUCAUCCAGAUUUGAUUUUCUGUCGUAAACAGCCGGGAGUCGCUAUCGGCCGGCUUUGUGAGAAAUGCGAUGGCAAGUGUGUCAUUUGCGAUUCUUAUGUGAGACCUUGCACAUUAGUCAGAAUAUGUGACGAGUGUAAUUACGGUUCCUAUCAGGGACGUUGUGUAAUAUGUGGAGGUCCCGGCGUAUCGGACGCGUAUUAUUGUAAAGAAUGCACAAUACAAGAAAAAGAUAGAGACGGCUGUCCUAAAAUAGUUAAUCUAGGAAGCUCAAAGACAGAUCUCUUCUACGAGAGAAAGAAAUAUGGAUUCAAAAGAAGAUAAUCGCAAGAUAUUGUAUUUCUCUAUGUAAUUUUUGUUGAACAUAACAUUGAGCAUCAGUUUGCUUUUUCGACGAGCGAUUCAUUCUCUUCGUCCACGGCCUCAUAUCUGACCAUUUGAAGUCUGUAACAUCCGUCCUCGUCCUGUGUAUAAUGGAAGCGCUUAUGUCCACUUGGCAAUUGCAAUUGAUGAGUUUCUAUAAGAUGUUUGGUCCAUCUAUAACUCUGCCGAUACUUAAUUGGACAUUCGUGACAACAGUACCAUCGCACCGCUAAGCUGUGUACUCUUUCUACAUGCCUAUAAUAAAUUUGACAAUUGCAAUAAACAAUUAAUAAAACAACUUCAUUAUUGAAGAUUUGUAUAAUUACCUAUCUAAGGUGUAAGCUCCUUUGCAUGUGUAAAGGCAUCCUUCAAAAUGACAAGAAAAAUUUGGACCAUUAGUAUGGACAGUCAUGUGAGAAUCAAGAUCCUGUUGCGAUUUUGCAGCAUGCGAGCAUAAUUGACAUGGAAACGUUCUCGUCGACACGUGGCGAUAUCUGACGUGUUUCGCCAAGCUCGCCGGCGAUUCACAGCUCAUAUCGCAAAGAGAACACUUGUAAUUGAACACGUGAGAUCUCAUAUGAUCGCGUAGGAUUCUCUCAGUGGGAUAAAACUUAUUACAGUGCGAACACUGGAAUCCCUGUACUGUAAAUCACUGUAUUUUAGAAAAAAUAUACAAAGCGCAAGAAA